GAUGAACGCUGGCGGCGUGCCUAAUACAUGCAAGUCGAGCGAACAGACGAGGAGCUUACUCCUCUGACGUUAGCGGCGGACGGGUGAGUAACACGUGGAUAACCUACCUAUAAGACUGGGAUAACUUCGGGAAACCGGAACUAAUACCGGAUAACAUGUUGAACCGCAUGGUUCAACAGUGAAAGACGGUCUUGCUGUCACUUAUAGAUGGAUCCGCGUCGCAUUAGCUAGUUGGUAAGGUAACGGCUUACCAAGGCAACGAUGCGUAGCCGACCUGAGAGGGUGAUCGGCCACACUGGAACUGAGACACGGUCCAGACUCCUACGGGAGGCAGCAGUAGGGAAUCUUCCGCAAUGGGCGAAAGCCUGACGGAGCAACGCCGCGUGAGUGAAGAAGGUCUUCGGAUCGUAAAACUCUGUUAUUAGGGAAGAACAAAUGUGUAAGUAACUAUGCACGUCUUGACGGUACCUAAUCAGAAAGCCACGGCUAACUACGUG
rnacentral:rRNA from 1 species